rnacentral:piRNA from 1 species
GUCAUGUGCCUUGGUCAAGUAUUGGCUGAUU